GCAUUCGCUACUAUACCUGGGGGAGGAGGCGGACGGGGCAGCGGCGGCCGCGACGGCUGGAGGCGGAGGCUCGGGCGGAGGAGGAGGUGCCGGGCACUCCCCCCUCCCAUUGUCCCGGCCCGCGGCCUGCCGCGGCCCGCUCCGCCCGGCCCGCGCCCUCCCCGUGCCCGGUCCCCGCUGCUGGCCCUUACCUUGCAGCGGCCGGCUCUUUCCCGCCGCUAAUGCUACUUAUCCCGGGAAAGCUCGGAGCAGGGCCCGGGAGCGAACCCACAGACAAAAAGUGAAACUUCGGCAGGCCGGGAGCGGCUGCUGGCGACAAGUUGGAAGGCUGAGCUUGAGCGAGAAGACCCUGCCAUGGAACACCACCCCCACUCCCACUCCCCACCCUCAUCGCCCCCCCCACCCCAAGAGCCUCGUCCGGGCCCCGCCCAGAACUCCAGCAGAACUCAGAACUACGGGAUGGAAGAGAGCAACUUCGGUUCACUUCACACGUGAGAGCGCCGAAGCUCUCAGGAGCUGGGACCUGACCCAGCUGUACACUGUGCAGAUCUAGAAGCAGAUCCGAUACUCUACUCCCAGCUGGGUUCCUGCCUCCAGGCAGGACCCAAGCUCGGUGCUGUGAGCUCAGACCAAGUUAGACCUGGGCAGAUGACUCGACCACCCACUGAAGUGACUAGCCCCAGUUCCUGGAAGGUUGUGGUUGACAAACCUUGAGUAACAAUGGCAAUCAGGGCCACUUCCUGUCCUUUGUUCAAAGAAAUGAACCUUUGGAGUUUAAAAUUUGCUUCCCAACCCUGCCCUGGCGGAAAACCAGAAAACUUGCUCAGUUCUUGCAGCUUAAAAAAAGAAAAUACACGAACUGGGUGAACUGGUUUGAAUAAAGACAGGCCUGUUCUUGGAAGAUUGGGGUUGGAUUUUUUUUUUUUUUUUUUGGCCUUUGAUACUUGUAAAAGUGAGCAAAGAUGGGAACCGCAUUUACUACGUUAAGAGAUGGACUAGGAGGUACUUGUAGGCCCUCUGGCCCGCAGUAUUGAAAGCUUUUAAUCCCAGCACAAGGGAGGUAGGUCUGUGUGGACCCUGUCACAAACAAAACAACCUCUGAUUUUCUCCUUUUGUGUUUCUAGCCUGUCCCUACACAAAAGAAAUGCCUCACCUCAGCCCACACUAACAACAACCUCAGCACACCCUAAUGGCUUCCCUACCUGUUGCUGCCAUCUCAGCAUUUAUUGAACAACACCUCUCCUGCGGUCUUCAAACUCGAACACUUCUGGGUUCAAACUACUGAAGCCCUUUGCCCUCUCAACUUCCCCAGCUACGCACUGAAAAGCAGGAAUGCAGCAGAAGCGAAGAUCAAGAGUACCAGGCACCCCACGCAAUAAUGAACUGUUUUCUCUUUACAAUUAACGUGACAUCAGACAGGAAUCAAGAGCUCCUAGAGUUCAGACUUAAAAAGAUCACAAUUGAUUCAUUUCAGCCAGUCUGUGUCCUGGGUGCUACUAUUUAGUGUGGGGAACUCACCCCCGUGCUCAUUUAGACGUAACGGAACUUGACCAGCAUUGCUUGCUUGCUUUUAUUCCCUUCUCAGUAACCCACUUAUAAAGAAUAAUAGGGUUCUAAUGAGGAUUAAUAAAAUUUAAUAAGGUAUAAUUAGAGUCAUUCAUUUCCUCCAUCAUACACCUUAUAAGAGUGCUGUGUUGAUCCAG
ensembl:lncRNA